GUAGUGAUGGCUUAGUGGUUAAGGCAUUGGGUUACUAAUCAGACGCCUGUGAGUUCAAAUCCCAGCACUGCU